UACAGAGGUCUCAAGCGUUUGUUCGGAUUCACUGGGCGUAAAGGGUGCGUAGGUGGUGAGGUAAGUCGGAUGUGAAAUCUCCAGGCUCAACCUGGAAACUGCAUUGGAAACUACCUUGCUGGAGGAUUUGAGGGGGGAUUGGAAUACUUGGGUGUAGCAGUGAAAUGCGUAGAUAUCAAGUGGAACACCAGUGGCGAAGGCGAAUCCCGUGGAAAAUACCUGACACUGAGGCACGAAAGCUAGGGGAGCAAACAGGAUAGAAA
rnacentral:rRNA from 1 species